rnacentral:tRNA from 1 species
GGAGGAGUGGCUGAGCGGUCGAAAGCAGCACACUGCUAAUGUGCUGUCCGGGAAACCGGACCGUGGGUUCGAAUCCCACCUCCUCCGCCA